rnacentral:rRNA from 1 species
GAUGAACGCUGGCGGCGUGCCUAAUACAUGCAAGUCGUGCGGCAGCGAGCCCUUCGGGGUGUCGGCGAGCGGCGGACGGCUGAGUAACACGUAGGAACAUACCCCAAAGUGAGGGAUAACUGCUCGAAAGAGUAGCUAAUACCGCAUGUGGUCUAAGGAUUUAGGCUUCGGCGCUUUGGGAAUGGCCUGCGUUCGAUUAGCUAGAUGGUGAGGUAAAGGCUCACCAUGGCGACGAUCGAUAGCUGGUCUGAGAGGAUGAUCAGCCAGACUGGGACUGAGACACGGCCCAGACUCCUACGGGAGGCAGCAGUAGGGAAUUUUCCACAAUGGGCGAAAGCCUGAUGGAGCAACGCCGCGUGCAGGAUGAAUGCCUUAGGGUUGUAAACUGCUUUUAUAUGUGACGAUUAUGACGGUAGCAUAUGAAUAAGAAUCGGCUAACUCCGUGCCAGCAGCCGCCGUAA